GACGAACGCUGGCGGCGUGCUUAACACAUGCAAGUCGAACGGUGAAGCGCCUUCCUUUUUGGUGGGUGUGGAUGAGUGGCGAACGGGUGAGUAACACGUGAGUAACCUGCCCCCUUCUUCUGGAUAACCGCAUGAAAGUGUGGCUAAUACGGGAUAUUCUGGGUCUGUCGCAUGAUGGGUCUGGGAAAGAUAUUGUUUCGGUGGGGGACGGGCUCGCGGCCUAUCAGCUUGUUGGUGGGGUGAUGGCCUACCAAGGCGGUGACGGGUAGCCGGCCUGAGAGGGUGGACGGUCACACUGGGACUGAGACACGGCCCAGACUCCUACGGGAGGCAGCAGUGGGGAAUAUUGCACAAUGGGCGCAAGCCUGAUGCAGCGACGCCGCGUGAGGGAUGGAGGCCUGCGGGUUGUGAACCUCUUUCGCCAGUGAAGCAGGCCUGCCUCGUUUGUGGGUGGGUUGACGGUAGCUGGAUAAGAAGCGCCGGCUAACUACGUG
rnacentral:rRNA from 1 species